AACGAACGCUGGCGGCAGGCCUAGCACAUGCAAGUCGAGCGCCCUUUCGGGGGAGCGGCGGACGGGUGAGUAACGCGUGGGAAUAUGCCCUUCUCUACGGAAUAGCCUCGGGAAACUGAGAGUAAUACCGUAUACGCCCUGUGGGGGAAAGAUUUAUCGGGGAAGGAUUAGCCCGCGUUGGAUUAGGUAGUUGGUGGGGUAAUGGCCUACCAAGCCGACGAUCCAUAGCUGGUUUGAGAGGAUGAUCAGCCACACUGGGACUGAGACACGGCCCAGACUCCUACGGGAGGCAGCAGUGGGGAAUCUUAGACAAUGGGGGCAACCCUGAUCUAGCCAUGCCGCGUGAGUGAUGAAGGCCUUAGGGUUGUAAAGCUCUUUCAGCUGGGAAGAUAAUGACGGUACCAGCAGAAGAAGCCCCGGCUAACUCCGUG
rnacentral:rRNA from 1 species